AAUCCAUAGGUUAAUGAGGCGAACCGGGGGAACUGAAACAUCUAAGUACCCCGAGGAAAAGAAAUCAACCGAGAUUCCCCCAGUAGCGGCGAGCGAACGGGGAGGAGCCCAGAGCCUGAAUCAGCAUGUGUGUUAGUGGAAGCGUCUGGAAAGGCGCGCGAUACAGGGUGACAGCCCCGUACACAAAAGCGCAUGUGCUGUGAGCUCGAUGAGUAGGGCGGGACACGUGGUAUCCUGUCUGAAUAUGGGGGGACCAUCCUCCAAGGCUAAAUACUCCUGACUGACCGAUAGUGAACCAGUACCGUGAGGGAAAGGCGAAAAGAACCCCGGCGAGGGGAGUGAAAAAGAACCUGAAACCGUGUACGUACAAGCAGUGGGAGCACAGGUUUACCUGUGUGACUGCGUACCUUUUGUAUAAUGGGUCAGCGACUUAUAUUCUGUAGCAAGGUUAACCGAAUAGGGGAGCCGGAGGGAAACCGAGUCUUAAUUGGGCGUUAAGUUGCAGGGUAUAGACCCGAAACCCGGUGAUCUAGCCAUGGGCAGGUUGAAGGUUGGGUAACACUAACUGGAGGACCGAACCGACUAAUGUUGAAAAAUUAGCGGAUGACCUGUGGCUGGGGGUGAAAGGCCAAUCAAACCGGGAGAUAGCUGGUUCUCCCCGAAAGCUAUUUAGGUAGCGCCUCGUGAAUUCAUCUCCGGGGGUAGAGCACUGUUUCGGCUAGGGGGCCAUCCCGGCUUACCAACCCGAUGCAAACUGCGAAUACCGGAGAAUGUUAUCACGGGAGACACACGGCGGGUGCUAACGUCCGUCGUGAAGAGGGAAACAACCCAGACCGCCAGCUAAGGUCCCAAAGUCAUGGUUAAGUGGGAAACGAUGUGGGAAGGCCCAGACAGCCAGGAUGUUGGCUUAGAAGCAGCCAUCAUUUAAAGAAAGCGUAAUAGCUCACUGGUCGAGUCGGCCUGCGCGGAAGAUGUAACGGGGCUAAACCAUGCACCGAAGCUGCGGCAGCGACACUGUGUGUUGUUGGGUAGGG
rnacentral:rRNA from 1 species